rnacentral:rRNA from 4 species
GCAUAUCAAUAAGCGGAGGAAAAGAAACCAACAGGGAUUGCCUCAGUAACGGCGAGUGAAGCGGCAAGAGCUCAAAUUUGAAAGCUGGCCCCCUCGGGGUCCGCAUUGUAAUUUGCAGAGGAUGCUUCGGGAGUGGCCCCCAUCUAAGUGCUCUGGAACGGGCCGUCAUAGAGGGUGAGAAUCCCGUAUGGGAUGGGGUGUCCGCGACCAUGUGAAGCUCCUUCGACGAGUCGAGUUGUUUGGGAAUGCAGCUCUAAAUGGGUGGUAAAUUUCAUCUAAAGCUAAAUAUUGGCCGGAGACCGAUAGCGCACAAGUAGAGUGAUCGAAAGAUGAAAAGCACUUUGAAAAGAGAGUUAAAAAGCACGUGAAAUUGUUGAAAGGGAAGCGCUUGCGACCAGACUCGCCUACGGGGUUCAGCCGGUAUUCGUACCGGUGUACUUCCCCGUGGGCGGGCCAGCGUCGGUUUGGGCGGCCGGUCAAAGGCCCUCGGAAUGUAACGCCUCUCGGGGCGUCUUAUAGCCGAGGGUGCCAUGCGGCCAGCCCGGACCGAGGAACGCGCUUCGGCACGGACGCUGGCAUAAUGGUCGUAAGCGACCCGUCUUGAAACACGGACC